ensembl:lncRNA
CAAGAUAUCUGUCUGUUUAUGAAGGUAAAUCUCUAUAAAAAUACAUUAAUACAGCGAAAAUAAUCGACUUGUUCAAGUUCAUUCUGAAAAGAAUCUCUUAAACAUGUCCUUUGUUUCUCUCCAUCUUCAUGUCAUUGAAAUGCAUGGCAAGAAAGACCACAAUAACAGGUUAGCAAAUUUAGAAUUGACAAAAACUUUGAAUGUGUAUAGCAUGAAAAUAUUUUGUUGUUGUUGUUCUGGAAAAUCACUGUAUUUCUGAAAACAUUCUUCUGUUUCAUUCUUUGAGUUCACUCUUUCCAACUUCAUGACAUGGUCUGAGCGUCACAAUGGUCAUAAAGGUAAUACUUCGAAAAAACUAUAUUAACUCCAACAUGAAACUUUUUUUUAUUAGUAUUAUUCUGGAAAAUUAUUGUAUUUCUGAACAUGUUCUUCUCUGUUUCUUUCUUUGCAUGACUCUUUCCAUCUACAUGGCACGGUUUGAGUCACAAUGGCAUGGUAAGGUGAUCGUCUGACAGCAAUAUAAGGUACAUCCAAUCUGAAUGUUUCGUAUAUGAAUACAUUAAAAGCUGUAUUAAGUUGUUUUAAAGUGCAAAUUCACUGCAUUUCUAAACAUCUGUUUCUUUUUGUGCAUAACUCUUUCCCUCUGCAUGUCAUGGUUUGAGCAUCAAAAUGGCAAACUUAUGACAGCAAUAAAAGAUAAGUCAAAUCUCAAAGUUUUAUAUGAAACAUUAAUAACCAUUUUUUUUUUCUGUUUCUUCUGUCAACAUGAGUCGUCACCAUGACUUUUAUUCUGAAUAUCACUAUUUUUGAACACAUUCUUCUGUUUCUUUCUUUGCAUGAUUGUUACAUCUACAUGACAGCGUUUGAGUAUCACGAAGGCAAAAUUAUCACAGCAAUAAAGAUCACUGUAUUUCUGAACAGUGUCACAAUGACGGAUAUGGGAAGAUCACAUGACAGCAAUAAAGGCGUGCACAUCAGUAAUCUGGACAUUCUCCAGCUCUUGCUUGGACUCAGUCGCUGGCUGCUGCUCUAGUCUCCGCUGGCAUGACUCAAGCUCUCUUCAUGCACUGUCUGCUACAUACUUUCUGCUAGUGCUGCAGCUGUGUCUAGACAACUGUGAAGGACUCAGGAGAGCUGGCUCUGUUUAAUCUCUCUUGAGAGUUGGAUCAAUGAUGUAAUAACAUGGCUCUCUACUCUGAGAGCUGGCAGGAACAUCUGCUGCUUUUGUGGAAGACGCUGUAAGAAGCGUGUAGGGCUGGACUGAGUGCCAACCUUGGAUGUGUUACACAGAUGGUUUCUCUGAAGCCCAUUACCUGAGCUCCAGAUUGGUUUGGGCUUAAUCAAAACACAAGGAAGGAAAGUGAGCACUAUACCGUGGAGAACAAUGGCCAAAACCAUUGCAUUUUCCCCCUUUUUUCAUUCCUUUUCUGGUGUUUCAUCGAUAACCUUUCUUCCAGAGGCUUCCCUCUCUCAGACUCGAAUAAAAAGUCCCUUUGGGGCAAAUUAUUUGUAAAAGAACUGUGCUUUUAUUCAUCCAAAAGAUCCAAAAAACAUCCUCCUCCGUAAUACUCAGAAAAGGGAAAACAUUGGGUAGUUAACAAGUGGCAUUUCAUGGUUGGCAGACUCUCUGACAGUUUAAUUAGAAAGCUGCAGUAAACAAUUGAUAUGCAGCUAGUGUCACCAAAAGGAAUGUCAAAAAGAAUGAGUUUUUAGGUUUCUCAUAUACCAGCCAUUAUCCAGACAAACAGGUAUCCCCAAACUCAAAUUGGUUUAAGUUUACAGAGCCUAGGGCUGUCUGUCACAGACACAGGUGUGUUUUUGUAAAAGCAUCCGUUAGCUUUUUCAUUCAUCACUGUGAGUCUUUUGCCCACCCUCAAGACUAUCGUCAGUCUUCUUUCUCCUUCUAAAUGCUUCUAUUUAAUUUUUUUUCUGUUUUUAUCCCUAUAAUGUCAGAACCAUUACAGAAAAUGGCUUUGUGUCACCCAGGGGCAUUUAUAUUCUUACACAUUAUUAAAGUCGUAUUUUGGCUCUUGAAUUAAAUAGUUCUCUUAUCUUUCAUUCACUCUGUCCUUAUUUACUCAUUUACAG